rnacentral:tRNA from 1 species
UGGCUCAACGGUAGAGCAGCUGACUUGUAAUCAGCAGGUUGUAGGUUCGAUUCCUAU